AUGAAGCUUCGUCAACUUCGCCGUUCACCGACUCAUCACUAACCAGAGUUCUUUGUCGGAAACUUUCGUAAUCGGCCGACGUAUAAUUUGUUUAGGUUCUUCAUGAAGCUUUCACUCCUAUAGCCUUCUAUUGUACCUAUUGCCUUUUGCGAUUGAUCACCGGAAGAAAUGGUUGGAUUUAAACUCGCUCACCGGAAAUUUGACCUCAGUUGACCAGAUCCAAAAUAUUCUUGAGAGAAUCAUCAAAACACGAUGAGAACUCCAAAUCUUCAUAUUUCGUUUCCAUCAACCGCAACCACUUGAUUGAAUCAACCAAAAGUAGAACCGACGCUUUUAACGAUCUAUUAGGACAAGCGGGGAUUUACCUUCUCUUGGUAGACUAAUCAACCAUCCAACAAUGCAAGAAUCCAUCUAAACUCCUGGAAUUUUACAGCUUCAAAAAAACUGGGUUUCAAAGCUGCAAAAGGCUACAAAAGAUCCGAACAAAGUCGAAAAAUUAUCUUAAACAAGUCGGAAGAACAAACCGGACUUAGCCGGUAAACAAAGAAAAAGAAACAAACCAAUACAAAAUCGGAAGAUAACAAUGAUACAAGAUCCGAUUUUGAUUUAUGAAAACAAAAGAAGAUUGUAGCUUUCCUCUCUCUAAAAGAUACUUUAGAAGAAAGAGAAAACUUUUUUUUUUUUUCUUUUUAAAGUAGCGGAAGUUAGUUAAUAUUGUAG